GAUGAACGCUGGCGGCGUGCUUAACACAUGCAAGUCGAACGAUAAAUGUAGACGGAAACCUUCUUGCGGAAGCCGUCAUUUCGAGUGGCGGACUGGUGAGUAACGCGUGUGUAACCUGCCUCAUACAGGGGGAUAACAUUUGGAAACGACUGUUAAUACCGCAUAAGACCACGGCAUCGCAUGAUGCGGGGGUAAAAACUCCGGUGGUAUGAGAUGGACCCGCGUUCGAUUAGCCAGUUGGCGGGGUAACGGCCCACCAAAGCGACGAUAGACAGCCGAGCAGAGAGGAAGACCGGCCACAUUGGGAAUGAGACACAGCCCGAAAUCCUACGGGAGGCAGGAGUGGGGAAUAUUGCAAAAUGGGGGGAACGCUGAUGCAGCGACGCCGCGUGAGUGCAGAAGUACUUCGGUAUGUAAAGAUAUAUCAGCAGGGAAGAAAAUGACGGUACCUGAGUAAGAAGCCCCGGCUAACUACGUG
rnacentral:rRNA from 1 species